CGCACGGUGGAUGCCUUGGCACUAGGAGCCGAUGAAGGACGGGACGAACACCGAUAUGCUUCGGGGAGCUGUAAGCAAGCUUUGAUCCGGAGAUUUCCGAAUGGGGAAACCCACCACUCGUAAUGGAGUGGUAUCCAUAUCUGAAUUCAUAGGAUAUGAGAAGGCAGACCCGGGGAACUGAAACAUCUAAGUACCCGGAGGAAGAGAAAGCAAAUGCGAUUCCCUGAGUAGCGGCGAGCGAAACGGGAUUAGCCCAAACCAAGAGGCUUGCCUCUUGGGGUUGUAGGACACUCUGUACGGAGUUACAAAGGAACGAGGUAGAUGAAGAGGUCUGGAAAGGCCCGCCAUAGGAGGUAACAGCCCUGUAGUCAAAACUUCGUUCUCUCCUGAGUGGAUCCUGAGUACGGCGGAACACGUGAAAUUCCGUCGGAAUCCGGGAGGACCAUCUCCCAAGGCUAAAUACUCCCUAGUGACCGAUAGUGAACCAGUACCGUGAGGGAAAGGUGAAAAGCACCCCGGAAGGGGAGUGAAAGAGAUCCUGAAACCGUGUGCCUACAAGUAGUCAGAGCCCGUUAACGGGUGAUGGCGUGCCUUUUGUAGAAUGAACCGGCGAGUUACGAUCCCGUGCAAGGUUAAGCAGAAGAUGCGGAGCCGCAGCGAAAGCGAGUCUGAAUAGGGCGCAUGAGUACGUGGUCGUAGACCCGAAACCAGGUGAUCUACCCAUGUCCAGGGUGAAGUUCAGGUAACACUGAAUGGAGGCCCGAACCCACGCACGUUGAAAAGUGCGGGGAUGAGGUGUGGGUAGGGGUGAAAUGCCAAUCGAACCUGGAGAUAGCUGGUUCUCUCCGAAAUAGCUUUAGGGCUAGCCUCAAGGUAAGAGUCUUGGAGGUAGAGCACUGAUUGGACUAGGGGCCCCUACCGGGUUACCGAAUUCAGUCAAACUCCGAAUGCCAAUGACUUAUCCUUGGGAGUCAGACUGCGAGUGAUAAGAUCCGUAGUCGAAAGGGAAACAGCCCAGACCGCCAGCUAAGGUCCCAAAGUAUACGUUAAGUGGAAAAGGAUGUGGAGUUGCUUAGACAACCAGGAUGUUGGCUUAGAAGCAGCCACCAUUUAAAGAGUGCGUAAUAGCUCACUGGUCGAGUGACUCUGCGCCGAAAAUGUACCGGGGCUAAACGUAUCACCGAAGCUGCGGACUGUUCUUCGAACAGUGGUAGGAGAGCGUUCUAAGGGCUGUGAAGCCAGACCGGAAGGACUGGUGGAGCGCUUAGAAGUGAGAAUGCCGGUAUGAGUAGCGAAAGAGGGGUGAGAAUCCCCUCCACCGAAUGCCUAAGGUUUCCUGAGGAAGGCUCGUCCGCUCAGGGUUAGUCGGGACCUAAGCCGAGGCCGAAAGGCGUAGGCGAUGGACAACAGGUUGAUAUUCCUGUACCACCUCCUCACCAUUUGAGCAAUGGGGGGACGCAGGAGGAUAGGGUAAGCGCGGUAUUGGAUAUCCGCGUCCAAGCAGUUAGGC
rnacentral:rRNA from 1 species